rnacentral:rRNA from 1 species
CCUACGGGUGGCUGCAGUGGGGAAUAUUGCACAAUGGGCGCAAGCCUGAUGCAGCCAUGCCGCGUGUGUGAAGAAGGCCUUCGGGUUGUAAAGCACUUUCAGCGGGGAGGAAGGCGGUGAGGUUAAUAACCUCAUCGAUUGACGUUACCCGCGGAAGAAGCACCGGCUAACUCCGUGCCAGCAGCCGCGGUAAUACGGAGGGUGCAAGCGUUAAUCGGAAUUACUGGGCGUAAAGCGCACGCAGGCGGUCUGUCAAGUCGGAUGUGAAAUCCCCGGGCUCAACCUGGGAACUGCAUUCGAAACUGGCAGGCUAGAGUCUUGUAGAGGGGGGUAGAAUUCCAGGUGUAGCGGUGAAAUGCGUAGAGAUCUGGAGGAAUACCGGUGGCGAAGGCGGCCCCCUGGACAAAGACUGACGCUCAGGUGCGAAAGCGUGGGGAGCAAACAGGAUUAGAUACCCCGGUAGUC